UGUGGUCUUUUGUUCUAUAAGGAAGCAGGCUGAGCAGGCCAUGAUGAACAAGCCAGUAAGAAGUUCCCCUCCAUGGCCUCUGAGUCAGCUCCUACCUCCAGAUUCCUGCCGUGAUUGAGUUCCUCCCCUCAGUGCUCUUGAUAAUGAACCAGUGUUAAUGGAACUGUUACAAUUCAUCCUUGAGGGAACUCAGGGUAGGAAACUGGAGGCAGGACCAUGGGAGAACACUACUCAUUCUCUGGCUCAAUUUCUGGCUUUAUAAACCCCAUGACUACCUGUACCAAAGUGACCGUGGCCAUCCAAUAUCCCAGACAGACAUGCCGACAGAUUGAGGUGAUUCCUCCAUAGAACCUUCCCUCUCAGUGCCAUUCCUCCACCUUCAUAUACUCUUUCCCAUUCCUGCAGAGGGAACGCAAGAACUGUCUGUGUGUCAACAGCAGCUGACCUCCAGGCACGAGUACAGAUGGGCUGUACUUUUAAUUUUCUUGCUGCCACCUGGGAAGAAUUUGUCAUUUUGUUCCUAAAGGAAAAGGAAAAAGAACCGCAUAUGACAUAAUCUAAUACAAAUCUGCACAGAACAACUCCCAGGACUCUGGGAGAGCAAUUCCGGCAAUUUGUGUGAUUAUCUGUCUGUGUGGGAUUGUCACAAGAAGACUGUGGUUUCCAUGCAAGUGAUUUCUCUUCCUAUAUUCAUAAGGCUUCUAAAGGUGGAGAACGAGAAUUGGGCUAGAGGCUUUGCUGGGUAAAUAAAACAAAGCCACUAAGCUUUAAGGGAGCUGUGGUGAAAUGAUGGAGAA